GACGAACGCUGGCGGUGUGCUUAACACAUGCAAGUCGUGCGACGAACCAGACUUCGGUCUGGGGCAAAGCGGCGAACGGUGAGUAACACGUGGGUAAUCUGCCCCCGAUGACUGGGACAACCCGAGGAAACUCGGGCUAAUACCGGAUGUGGUGCCUGGACUCAAGUCCGGUCACUAAAGGUAGCUUCGGGCUUCCGCAUUGGGAGGGGCCCGCGGCCCAUUAGCUUGUUGGUGGGGUCAAGGCCUACCAAGGCAACGAUGGGUAGCUGGUCUGAGAGGACGAUCAGCCACACUGGGACUGAGACACGGCCCAGACUCCUACGGGAGGCAGCAGUGGGGAAUCUUGCGCGAUGCGCGAAAGCGUGACGCAGCAACACCGCGUGAGGGAAGACGGCCUUAGGGUUGUAAACCUCUUUCAGAUGGGACGAAGGUGAUGCGGUGAAUAGCCGAUGUCAUUGACGGUACCGUCAGAAGAAGCUCCGGCUAACUAACGUGCCAGCAGCCGCGGUAAUC
rnacentral:rRNA from 1 species